AGCGCGGGAGCAAUCCUGGCGGCGAGCGGCGGACGGGUGAGUAACGCUUGGGAAUCUGCCUGUUAGUGGGGGACAACCCGGGGAAACUCGGGCUAAUACCGCAUACGCACUACGGUGGAAAGCCGGGGACCGCAAGGCCUGGCGCUAACAGAUGAGCCCAAGUCGGAUUAGCUAGUUGGUAGGGUAACGGCCUACCAAGGCGACGAUCCGUAACUGGUCUGAGAGGACGACCAGUCACACCGGAACUGAGACACGGUCCGGACUCCUACGGGAGGCAGCAGUGGGGAAUAUUGGACAAUGGGGGAAACCCUGAUCCAGCGACGCCGCGUGGGUGAAGAAGGCCUGCGGGUUGUAAAGCCCUUUCAGUGGGGAAGAAAAGCCUCGAGUUAACACCUCGGGGUCUUGACGUAACCCAUAGAAGAAGCACCGGCUAACUCUGUGCCAGCAGCCGCGGUAAUACAGAGGGUGCGAGCGUUAAUCGGAAUUACUGGGCGUAAAGCGCGCGUAGGCGGCUUUGCAAGUCGGGUGUGAAAUCCCCAGGCUUAACCUGGGAACUGCAUUCGAGACUGCAUUGCUAGAGUAUGGGAGAGGGAAGUGGAAUUUCAGGUGUAGCGGUGAAAUGCGUAGAUAUCUGAAGGAACAUCAGUGGCGAAAGCGACUUCCUGGACCAAUACUGACGCUCAUGUGCGAAAGCGUGGGGAGCAAACAGGAUUAGAUACCCUGGUAGUCCACGCCAUAAACGAUGAGAACUGGAUGUCGGGAGGGUCUGCCUCUCGGUGUCGUAGCUAACGCGUUAAG
rnacentral:rRNA from 1 species